AGAAACUUAAAAACUACUGUUGGAUCGAGAAAUGGACGUCCGAGAUUCGUCCACAUCAUCAUGAGUUAAAAUUUAACUCAUGAGUGAAUCCGCGAGUUAAAUUUUAACUCAUGGUGACGUGGACGAAUCUUAGACAUCCAUUUCUCGAUCCAACGGUAGUUUCCAUGUUUCC
rnacentral:pre_miRNA from 1 species